AGUUGCUACUUUAAGUUUCAUGCAACAAGCAAUCAUCAGGCAACAUAUUAAUACGGUUAAGUUGUUCCAACUUAACCGUAUUAAUAUGUUGCCUGAUGAUUGCUUGUUGCAUGAAACUUAAAGUAGCAACU